rnacentral:rRNA from 1 species
CGAACGGGUGCGUAACACGUGAGCAACCUGCCGAUCUGAGGGGGAUAGCCGGCCCAACGGCCGGGUAAUACCGCAUACGUUCUUGAGAGGACAUCCUCUUGGGAAGAAACCUCCGGGGCAGAUCGAGGGGCUCGCGGCCUAUCAGCUAGUUGGCGGGGUAACGGCCCACCAAGGCGACGACGGGUAGCUGGUCUGAGAGGAUGGCCAGCCACAUUGGGACUGAGAGACGGCCCAG